AUUCUCCCCGUGGUGAUCCAAGCCUUUGGGAUCAUCUCAGAGGAGAAUUUCUUUUGCAUCUAUAAGCGAAUCUCCUUGGUGAGCCAAAUCAGCCUGUGCGGCUCCCAGUGGGCACUCUGUAUCCACUACAGGCACCACUAUGCGCCUGAGAAUGGGUGGAGCGACUUCCAGACCCACAGCAAUGUAGUGGGCCUUGUCACCAUUGCCGACUGCCUCUCGGCUAAGGCCUUCGAGAAGCUCCACGUGCAGAGGAGCUGUAUGGCACCACGCUCUAUGACUCUCAGCUAUUUGUCUUUGUGCUGCAUGGGGAGGUAGCCGAGCAGACACGCACCGACAUGGCUUUCAAUCUACGAGGACUGCAGGCUGGUGGAGAAGAGGAUCGAGGACUUCACUGAGUCACUCUUCAUCAUGCUCAAGUACAAGUGGCUGGAUGGGACCCCGACAAGUCUGGGGACAAGAUUCCACUCCUCUGCACCUUGUUUGAGAAAGAGGACUUCAUGGGACUGGACACAGACAGCAGGCUGGGAUGCUGCAGGACUCCCUGAUCCAUCACCGUUAUGUCCUGAAGCUGCUCCGGUCAGUGAAUGAUUUUCUGUGGCUUGGAGGGGCGCUUAUUGACUGAAAAAUUUACAAAGACUGAAUUUGUUUUACGUAGUCUUAGUAUGGAAGGAAAG